UACGGGGGGGGCAAGCGUUGUUCGGAAUUACUGGGCGUAAAGGGCUCGUAGGCGGCCAACUAAGUCAGACGUGAAAUCCCUCGGCUUAACCGGGGAACUGCAUCUGAUACUGGAUGGCUUGAGUUCGGGAGAGGGAUGCGGAAUUCCAGGUGUAGCGGUGAAAUGCGCAGAUAUCAGGAGGAACACCGGUGGCGAAGGCGGGUCUCUGGGCCGUAACUGACGCUGAGGAGCGAAAGCGUGGGGAGCGAACAGG
rnacentral:rRNA from 1 species